CGGGUAUGUAGGGUCGUGACAGACUGUAUUCACGGCGUGAAAUAGGGGAUUACACUGUUUUUAAACGGAAAGUGAAUCAAUUAACAUAAUAGACUCCU
rnacentral:pre_miRNA from 1 species